GACGAACGCUGGCGGCGUGCUUAACACACGCAAGUCGAACGGUGAAGCGCCUUCCUUUUUGGUGGGUGUGGAUGAGUGGCGAACGGGUGAGUAACACGUGAGUAACCUGCCCCCUUCUUCUGGAUAACCGCAUGAAAGUGUGGCUAAUACGGGAUAUUCUGGGUCUGUCGCAUGAUGGGUCUGGGAAAGAUAUUGUUUCGGUGGGGGAUGGGCUCGCGGCCUAUCAGCUUGUUGGUGGGGUGAUGGCCUACCAAGGCGGUGACGGGUAGCCGGCCUGAGAGGGUGGACGGUCACACUGGGACUGAGACACGGCCCAGACUCCUACGGGAGGCAGCAGUGGGGAAUAUUGCACGAUGGGCGCAAGGCUGAUGCAGCGACGCCGCGUGAGGGAUGGAGGCCUUCGGGUUGUGAACCUCUUUCGCCAGUGAAGCAGGCCUGCCUCGUUUGUGGGUGGGUUGACGGUAGCUGGAUAAGAAGCGCCGGCUAACUACGUG
rnacentral:rRNA from 1 species